AAGGGCACCACAAGAACGCGUGGAGCAUGUGGCUUAAUUUGACUCAACGCGGGAAAUCUUACCGGGUCCGGACACACUGAGGAUUGACAGGCAAUAUUAAUAUUACACCCUCUCUCGUAGAUGUGUGUAUAUUAUGUUAAAUAUGCUAGUCCUUUCAUGAUUAUGUGAUAGGUGGUGCAUGGCCGUUCUUAGUUCGUGGAGUGAUCUGUCUGCUUAAUUGCGUUUCACUAAGGGCCUAUAAAUUUACGUAUGUUGCGGCACUUUGACCCCUUUUCUCGUUAAAAGCGCGCGUCUUAGUUUGCUUUGCUCAUACAAUUAGGUCCUGAAAGCAACGAACGUGACCGCAACCUCUUGUUGCCUUUAUUACCAAACAUUGUUUAUGCGUUCUGCGCAUAUCGAUGAAAAAAGGCUUUUUAAACUAGAGGGACCGCUGUUACUUUCUUAAACCAGAGGAAGGUUGCGGCAAUAACAGGUCUGUGAUGCCCUUAGAUGUUCCGGGCUGCACACGUGCUACAAUGAUUAUUGCAGUGAGCAUCUCAUUUUUUACACACCGCAUGCGCGAGUCCAUUUAUUCAUUAUCCUUCGGGUUAUGCUUUAAAUGUGUAUCUCUGCGCGCGGUAAAGCCUGCUUCGAGAGUAAGUGGGUAAUCAAUUAGAAGUAAUGAUUUCCUUUUUUUUUUAGCACACAUAUAUACGGCGUUUAUACCCGGGUAAUGCUUGUCGUUACUUUUGUGCGUAUAGAUGUUUUUUCCGUAUGUGCGAUUGUCAAUUCAUGGUGGGGACGGACCAUUGUUAAUUGUUGGUCUCGGUCUUAACUAGGAAUGCCUUGUACGGGUCUUUGGUUCAACAAACCACCCGGAAUACGUCCCUGCCCUUUGUACACACCGCCCGUCGCUCUUACCGAUGGACUUCUCUGUGAGUUUGAGGGACUGGGAACGCAUAUAAUUUCGAUUACUUGCACACCUAUGGAAACUUAAACGAACAGUGUGGUCUAAAGGAAAGAGAAGUCGUAACAAGGCAUCGGUAGGUGAACCUGCAGAAGGAUCA
rnacentral:rRNA from 1 species